CCUACGGGUGGCUGCAGUGGGGAAUAUUGGACAAUGGGCGAAAGCCUGAUCCAGCCAUGCCGCGUGUGUGAAGAAGGCCUUCGGGUUGUAAAGCACUUUCAGUGGGGAAGAAAGCCUUGGGGCUAAUACCCUCGAGGAAGGACAUCACCCACAGAAGAAGCACCGGCUAACUCCGUGCCAGCAGCCGCGGUAAUACGGAGGGUGCGAGCGUUAAUCGGAAUUACUGGGCGUAAAGCGCGCGUAGGCGGUCUGAUAAGCCGGUUGUGAAAGCCCCGGGCUCAACCUGGGAACGGCAUCCGGAACUGUCAGGCUAGAGUGCAGGAGAGGAAGGUAGAAUUCCCGGUGUAGCGGUGAAAUGCGUAGAGAUCGGGAGGAAUACCAGUGGCGAAGGCGGCCUUCUGGACUGACACUGACGCUGAGGUGCGAAAGCGUGGGUAGCAAACAGGAUUAGAUACCCCUGUAUC
rnacentral:rRNA from 1 species